CCUACGGGUGGCAGCAGUGAGGAAUAUUGGUCAAUGGACGAGAGUCUGAACCAGCCAAGUCGCGUGAAGGAUGACUGCCCUAUGGGUUGUAAACUUCUUUUAUAUGGGAAUAAAAUGUUCCACGUGUGGGAUUAUGUAUGUACCAUAUGAAUAAGGAUCGGCUAACUCCGUGCCAGCAGCCGCGGUAAUACGGAGGAUCCGAGCGUUAUCCGGUUUUAUUGGGUUUAAAGGGGGCGUGGAGGGGAUUUUAAGUCGGUGGUAAAAGUUGGGGGUUAAACCUAAAAAUGGCAUUGAUAAUGGCGGCCUUGAGUACAGUCGAGGUAGGCGGAAUUCGUGGUGUAGCGGUGAAAUGCUUAGAUAUCACGCAGAACUCCGAUUGCGAAGGCAGCCUACUAGACUGCCACUGACGUUGAUGCACGAGAGUGUGGGUAUCAAACAGGAUUAGAUACCCGGGUAGUC
rnacentral:rRNA from 1 species